UACCAAAAACAAAACAAAAGAAUAAUAUGAGGGUGUUUAGUUGUAAUAUCCACGAUAUGGAAUAGCAAAACCGGUUUAAACCGUUAUUAAUGUCCGCUAACCGAAAAACUCAGUUGGUUCAACUAUUGGGGCAGGUGACCAGAUCGUGCUCGAUUCCUCUCUGGGCUCUGGCGUCGUGCGGAUCGGACAAAAGGUUCUCUUGGCUACUACAAAUCCGACCAAGACUAAAACCCUCCGGGUCCGAGUGAGUCUUGUCGAGCGAUCAUCGGAAAAAAAUGGGAGGGAUGUUGUACAAGCUCUUCGCGUCGGCGUCGCUGCUAACCCUUGGAUUGUAUCAUCUCAUUUGCACUUUCUUCCAUGUUCUCAAGUCUCCUCAAUCCUACGCCGCAAAGCCCUUCUACGCUUUUCCCCGUUUCUCCACCGCCGGUAAUAACAACCACCGUCUCCACAACGCACCGUUGAUCAUCCUCAUACUCUCUCUAUUCGUCGCUUUCCUCCACCAAACCAUAAUCUCCUUCUACUCCGAUCCUCUUGUCAAAGGAAGUACCCCCGUUCACCGAUUCUCCUCCCUCAAUUCCGCCGCCGUGUUCUUCCUCUUCCUCCUCGUCGCCGUCUACCUCCUCCUCUCGGAAUCCACCUCCUUAAUCCCCCUUCCCUCCGAUCUCCUCUUCGCACUCGCCUCCGGUGGUUUCUUCCUCCAUUACUCCUCCGCCUCCUCAUCGGCCUCAAUCCAGACAUCGGAUCUUCAAGCUCACUGCGAUUCCCUCUCCGCUCGAAUCUCCGCCUUGUGCUCACUCCUCUGCUUGCUCCUCGCUUGCCGCCCCAGGCUCUUCAUCGCUGACGCUGCCCUCGCUGCCGCCAUUUGUCUUCAGGGUCUCUGGCAGCUCCAGACCGGGCUCUCUCUCUACGUCGAUGGCUUCAUUCCAGAGGGAUGUCAUCGUCUUCUUGAUGUUGCGAGUGGUGUUGAAGGAUCAACCAAGUGUGAUAUCCAGGAGUCCAAGCUAAGAGCUGUGUCCAUCUUGGAUUUCAUGUUUACUGUCCACGUCGUGCUUGUGGUCAUCCUCCUCUUUGUGACCUACACGAUGGUGGCCAUGGCUGCGGGAGUGAGAAGAACCGGUUCGUACGAGGCUUUGCCGACCAAUUCUAAUGAUUCUAAUCACAUUCAGAUGAAGUCUUUGACCGGAACUCAGGCCUGAACCUGUCAAAAUUGGUGAAAGAUAGAGAAGGUGAUAGAUACAAUGAGGAUAAAACUACUUUCGAAGUGAAUUUGCGCCGGAAACUCUAGAACUAAGCUAAGGCAGUCUCAUGUCAUAGAAGGCAAAAGAAGAGGAACACAAGGCAGACUAGUUAAUCAGGAAAAGAGACGUAAAUCAAGCCUAUCUCCUCGGGCCAUUUGUUACAAUGGGCCCAAGCCUAAGCCCAAAUAUGUCAUGUACAUAUUUGUAUUUGUAUCUGUAUGCUUAAUAGCUUGAAAUCUGGACGAGUACGCGUGCGAAGGGGAAUGGUGAAACCUUAGUGGUUAAGUCAUGGAAAAAAAGAUAAAAACAAUCAAAUGAGAGCUUCAAACGGACAAAAAGUAACCUUAUGGUGGUGCGAAUAUUGAUGUGUAUUUUUCUCACUCUUUUAUUGCUGAAAGCUACACUUGCCUUAAUGUAUU